rnacentral:rRNA from 1 species
GAUGAACGCUGACAGAAUGCUUAACACAUGCAAGUCAACUUGAACUUCGGUUUGGGUGGCGGACGGGUGAGUAACGCGUAAAGAACUUGCCUCACAGCUAGGGACAACAUUUGGAAACGAAUGCUAAUACCUGAUAUUAUGAUUUUAGGGCAUCCUAGAAUUAUGAAAGCUAUAUGCGCUGUGAGAGAGCUUUGCGUCCCAUUAGCUAGUUGGAGAGGUAACGGCUCACCAAGGCGAUGAUGGGUAGCCGGCCUGAGAGGGUGAACGGCCACAAGGGGACUGAGACACGGCCCUUACUCCUACGGGAGGCAGCAGUGGGGAAUAUUGGACAAUGGACCAAGAGUCUGAUCCAGCAAUUCUGUGUGAACGAUGAAGUUUUUCGGAAUGUAAAGUGCUUUCAGUUGGGAAGAAAAAAAUGACGGUACCAACAGAAGAAGUGACGGCUAAAUACGUG